rnacentral:rRNA from 1 species
AAUGGGCGCAAGCCUGACCCAGCAACGCCGCGUGAGGGAAGAAGGUCUUCGGAUUGUAAACCUCUGUCCUUGGGGACGAAAAAAAUGACGGUACCCAAGGAGGAAGCUCCGGCUAACUACGUGCCAGCAGCCGCGGUAAUACGUAGGGAGCGAGCGUUGUCCGGAAUUACUGGGCGUAAAGGGUGCGUAGGCGGCUUGGCAAGUCAGAUGUGAAAUCCCCGGGCUUAACUCGGGAGUUGCAUUUGAAACUGCUAGGCUUGAGUGCAGGAGAGGAAAGGGGAUUUCCUAGUGUAGCGGUGAAAUGCGUAGAUAUUAGGAGGAACACCAGUGGCGAAGGCGGCUUUCUGGACUGUAACUGACGCUGAGACGCGAAAGCGUGGGUAGCAAA